UACGGAGGGGGUUAGCGUUGUUCGGAAUGACUGGGCGUAAAGCGCGCGUAGGCGGAUCAGGAAGUUGGGGGUGAAAUCCCGGGGCUCAACCCCGGAAUGGCCUUCAAAACUCCUGGUCUUGAGUUCGAGAGAGGUGAGUGGAAUUCCGAGUGUAGAGGUGAAAUUCGUAGAUAUUCGGAGGAACACCAGUGGCGAAGGCGGCUCACUGGCUCGACACUGACGCUGAGGUGCGAAAGCUAGGGGAGCAAACAGG
rnacentral:rRNA from 1 species